AGCGAUAGGCACAGAGGAAGGUAGAUGAAGCCCUGCGCCCCCCGGAGCCCAGCCCUGUUCACCGCGUGCUGUGCGGGUGCCUGUGCCAGGAUCAGCUGACUGGACGGCUAUAGCCCCACGCCUGCAGGCCACAUACCUGGGAGAGUGUGGGCCUUCCGAGCCUUCUGGCUCCCGGCCCCACAGAGGAAUUACGGUCCCAUGUCCCUCACAAGGACCCUUGCAGAGGGAGCAGCCGGGCUGAGGCUGCGGGUCCCUUGUGGCCGCCAGGUGCUCACGCGUGCCUCGGUGGGGAUCUGGCAGCCAGAUUUGGGCCGCGGCGAGUCCUUUGCACAUGUUGGCAACACACGCGUCCGCAUCGGCCUCCCUGCCCACAAAGCGCCACAACGGUGACCAACCAGAGCAGCCGGAGCUGAAGCGGAUCAAGACAGAAGACGGCGAGGGCAUCGUCAUUGCCCUGAGUGUGGACACGCCACCGGCAGCCGUAAGGGAAAAGGGUGUCCAGAACUAGCGACUGGGAGAGCUUUUCUUUAACAAUAUCA
rnacentral:sRNA from 1 species